GCAGAGAAUGGGAGAGAGAUAGAGAGAAAACAAAGUUAAUGAUUUGGUGAUUAAAUUUUUAGUAAUAUAAAGAGCAAAUCAAGUUCCUCACGGCGCCGAAAUUAGCACUAUAUAUAGACGUCUUAACUUUCAUUCAUCAUACCCACAUCUCACAACUUCUCUCUCCCUCUGUGUAUCAAUAACUCCAUAAUUUUCACGUUCUUGAUACCUGUAGCUUUCGCUUUAACCUCCUACCCACCAAUACCGCACAGUUUCUCAUUACUUUUCUCCUAUCAUGGAUUGCUUGCAGAGUUGGCCUGAACCUGUUGUUCGUGUCCAGUCUUUGUCUGAAAGUGGCAUACGCCAAAUCCCACAGCGUUAUGUGAAGCCAGCUUCUCAUAGGCCCUCGCUGAAUAAUAACUAUGUACCUUCUUCUCAAAUGGAGGUUAACAUUCCUGUUAUUGAUUUCCAGAACGUUUUCUCUGACAAUCAAACUCUUCGUUUGGAGACCCUGAAGAGUAUCUCCAUCGCUUGUCGCAAGUGGGGUUUCUUUCAAAUAGUGAACCACGGUGUGAGACCUCAGCUUCUGAAGAGAGUGCGAGAGGUCUGGCGAGAGUUCUUUAACCAGCCGCUGGAAAUAAAGCAGGAGUAUGCAAAUUCUCCAGCUACUUACGAGGGCUACGGUAGUCGGUUGGGUGUGGAGAAAGGGGCCACCCUUGAUUGGAGCGACUAUUUCUUUCUUCACUAUAUGCCAGUUUCGCUGAGAAACCAGAGCAAGUGGCCUGCAGUGCCGGCUUCCUGCAGGGAAUUGAUAGCUGAAUAUGGAAGCGAAGUGGUUAGGCUUGGUGGAAAACUGAUGAGGAUAUUCUCUAAGAACCUUGGCCUUGAAGAGGACCAUCUUAUAAACGCUUUUGGUGGGGAUGAGAACGUUGGUGCGUGCUUGAGGGCAAAUUUCUACCCCAAGUGUCCCCAACCAGACCUUACACUAGGUCUCUCAUCACACUCCGACCCAGGUGGCAUGACCAUUCUUCUGCCUGAUGAAAAUGUCGCCGGACUCCAAGUCCGUCGAGACGACAGUUGGGUUACUGUUAAGCCAGUCCCAAAUGCCUUCAUUAUCAACAUAGGAGAUCAAAUUCAGGUACUGAGCAAUGCCAUAUACAAGAGCAUAGAGCAUCGUGUGAUUGUGAACUCUGAUAAAGAUCGAGUCUCGCUUGCCUUCUUCUACAACCCUAAGAGUGACCUGCUGAUUGAACCUGCCAAGGAGCUGGUGACAGAGGACCAACCACCUCUCUAUCAAGCAAUGACAUAUGAUGAGUAUAGACUUUACAUCAGGACGAAGGGUCCAUGUGGGAAGCAACAAGUGGAAUCUCUAAGGUGCUCUUGAUCAUUGAAUGUGGGAUCGGUAUAAAGACUAAAUUUGUUGGUCCUCCCAGUUGCAUCUAAAUUUAAAAAAAAAAAAAAAAGCCCUUUUAGUUUUUUUCUAUAAGUAUAUAUACUACAGUUCGUGUCAAUGGAUCGAAUAUCAUGGUGAUGAUUUUAUAAUCAAAUUAAAUGCAGAAAAUGAUGAUGAUGAUCAUGCUUUUCAAAGUCAGUAGCAACGAGAUUAAAGCUUUUGUUUUUUUGUUCAAAUUGUUAUGACAAGUUGAUAUGUACCGAUCCCAAUUAUCAGAAAAGAAAAUCCUUUCAAUGAUUUGAGUUUUGCAUCAAAUAUUGGUUAAUUUUU
rnacentral:misc_RNA from 1 species